CAUGCAAGUCGAGCGGCAAGGCGGSSCAACCCUGCCCUAGAGCGGCGGACUGGUGAGUAACGCGUGGGUGACCUGCCUGAGGAUUGGGGAUAGCCACUAGAAAUAGUGGGUAAUACCGAAUGUGGUUAUGGGGCUUUGGCGCCAUAAAGAAAGGGGCGAUAGCCCUGUCCUGAGAUGGGCCCGCGUUCCAUUAGCUAGUUGGUGAGGUAAAGGCCCACCAAGGCGAUGAUGGGUAGCCGGCCUGAGAGGGUGAACGGCCACACUGGGACUGAGAUACGGCCCAAACUCCUACGGGAGGCAGCAGCUAAGAAUAUUCCGCAAUGGACGAAAGUCUGACGGAGCGACGCCGCGUGGAUGACGAAGGCCGAAAGGUUGUAAAAUCCUUUUAUCGCCGAAGAAUAAGGCAGGUAGGGAAUGAUCUGCUGAUGACGUUAGGCGAGGAAUAAGCCCCGGCUAAUUACGUGCCAGCAGCCGCGGUAACACGUAAGGGGCGAGCGUUGUUCGGAAUUAUUGGGCGUAAAGGGCGCGUAGGCGGUUAUGUAAGUCUGGUGUGAAAGGCAGGGGCUCAACUCCUGGACUGCGCCGGAAACUGUGUAACUGGAGUCAUGGAGGGGGAGUCGGAAUUCCGAGUGUAGGGGUGAAAUCUGUAGAUAUUCGGAAGAACACCGGUGGCGAAGGCGGACUUCCAGCCGAUGACUGACGCUGAGGCGCGAAAGUGCGGGGAGCAAACAGGAUUAGAUACCCUGGUAGUCCGCACUAUAAACGAUGUGCACUAGGUGUUGGGCCGAGCGGUUCAGUGCCGGAGCGAACGUGAUAAGUGCACCGCCUGGGGAGUAUGCCCGCAAGGGUGAAACUCAAAGGAAUUGACGGGGGCCCGCACAAGCUGUGGAGCAUGUGGUUUAAUUCGAUGAUACGCGAGGAACCUUACCUGGGUUUGACAUGGAGGGGGAUGGUGCAGAGAUGUAUCAGUCCCGCAAGGGACCCCUUCACAGGUGCUGCAUGGCUGUCGUCAGCUCGUGCCGUGAGGUGUUGAGUUAAGUCUCGCAACGAGCCCAACCCCUACUGCCAGUUACCAACACGUAAAGGUGGGGACUCUGGCGGAACUGCCGGUGACAAACCGGAGGAAGGUGGGGAUGACGUCAAGUCAUCAUGGCCCUUAUGUCCAGGGCUACACACGUGCUACAAUGGGCGGUACAGAGUGACGCGAGUCCGCGAGGAUUAAGCAAAACCGAAAAAGCCGCCCGUAGUUCGGAUUGAAGUCUGAAACCCGACUUCAUGAAGUUGGAAUCGCUAGUAAUCGCGCAUCAGCAUGGCGCGGUGAAUACGUUCCCGGGCCUUGUACACACCGCCCGUCACACCAUCCGAGUUGGGAGUGCCCGAAGCCGGUAGUCUAACUGGCAACAGAGGACGCCGUCUAAGGCAAGCUUAGUGAGGAGGGUGAAGUCGUAACAAGGUAGCCGUACUGGAAAGU
rnacentral:rRNA from 1 species